rnacentral:rRNA from 1 species
GAGGAAUAUUGGUCAAUGGGCGCAAGCCUGAACCAGCCAUCCCGCGUGCAGGAAGACGGCCCUAUGGGUUGUAAACUGCUUUUCCAGGGGGAGAAUUUUUCUGUCGUGACAGGAAUUGACGGUACCCUGGGAAUAAGCAUCGGCUAACUCCGUGCCAGCAGCCGCGGUAAUACGGAGGAUGCGAGCGUUAUCCGGAUUUAUUGGGUUUAAAGGGUGCGUAGGCGGAUAGAUAAGUCAGUGGUGAAAACCUGCAGCUUAACUGUAGACUUGCCGUUGAUACUGUCAGUCUUGAGUAUGGUCAAGGUAGGCGGAAUGUGUAAUGUAGCGGUGAAAUGCUUAGAUAUUACACAGAACACCGAUUGCGAAGGCAGCUUACUGGGCCAUUACUGACGCUGAUGCACGAAAGCGUGGGGAUCGAACA